rnacentral:rRNA from 1 species
UACGUAGGGGGCUAGCGUUGUCCGGAUUUAUUGGGCGUAAAGAGCGUGUAGGCGGCCAGGUAGGUCCGGUGUGAAAACUCGAGGCUUAACCUCGAGAUGUCAUCGGAAACCAUCUGGCUAGAGUCCGGAAGAGGAGAGUGGAAUUCCUGGUGUAGCGGUGAAAUGCGCAGAUAUCAGGAAGAACACCAAUAGGCGAAAGCAGCUCUCUGGGACGGUACUGACGCUGAGACGCGAAAGCGUGGGGAGCGAACAGG